rnacentral:lncRNA from 1 species
UCUGAUCUCUUCACAUCGUGCAUCUACUUCCCUAAAACCUUCAAGCGCCGAUUUCUAGAGGCAAUUUCCAAGCGCAAACUAACUUCCAGUGACCAGGUGAAAGUACAGUCUGACGAGAAUUUCAGUAACUUGCAAUUUCUACGGUCUGACGAGAACAGUGAGUUUUAGUGGAGACCUGAAGAUCCACAGACCAGGUAAGUUCUUUUCUUCAAAUCGUUGCUAUAUUUUGGAAGUUUCAAUUUCAGUUUUGAGUCGUUCUUAUUUUCAUAUUUCUGAUUCUCC